rnacentral:misc_RNA from 1 species
AAGUCGUAACAAGGUUUCCGUAGGUGAACCUGCGGAAGGAUCAUUGCAAAUCACGUGGAUGGAUUGCGUAAGCAAUCUGUCUCUAAAGCACAGAGUCGACGCACGUCGGUCUCUGAUGUCUGCGCUUGUAUUGUUUGACAGAGUAAUAUGACAAUUUUUAUAACAUUCAACAAUGGAUCUCUUGGCUCUU